rnacentral:misc_RNA from 1 species
UACGGGGGGGGCGAGCGUUGUUCGGAAUUACUGGGCGUAAAGGGCUCGUAGGUGGCCGACUAAGUCAGACGUGAAAUCCCUUGGCUCAACCGAGGAAUCGCGUCUGAUACUGAUCGGCUUGAAUCCGGGAGAGGGAUGCGGAAUUCCAGGUGUAGCGGUGAAAUGCGUAGAUAUCUGGAGGAACACCGGUGGCGAAGGCGGCAUCCUGGACCGGUAUUGACACUGAGGAGCGAAAGCCAGGGGAGCAAACGGG